rnacentral:rRNA from 1 species
UACGUAGGGCGCAAGCGUUUAUCCGGAAUUAUUGGGCGUAAAGAGCUCGUAGGCGGUUUGGUAAGUUGGAUGUGAAAUCUCCAGGCUCAACUUGGAGGGGUCAUUCGAUACUGCCAUGACUAGAGUUCGGUAGGGGAGUGUGGAAUUCCUGGUGGAGCGGUGAAAUGCGCAGAUAUCAGGAGGAACACCCGUAGCGAAGGCGGCACUCUGGGCCGGAACUGACGCUGAGGAGCGAAAGCGUGGGGAGCAAACAGG